CACUCGGAAAAACUGGCUUUAUUUGUGUGCUUAGACGGCCCCAUGAGCAACGAUCUAGCACCAUAUAAAUUCAGUAUUUUCGUGG
rnacentral:pre_miRNA from 1 species